CCUACGGGUGGCUGCAGUGGGGAAUAUUGAACAAUGGGGGGAACCCUGAUCCAGCCAUGCCGCGUGUGUGAAGAAGGCCCUCGGGUUGUAAAGCACUUUCAGUGAGGAAGAACGCCUGGUGGUUAAUACCCAUCAGGAAAGACAUCACUCACAGAAGAAGCACCGGCUAACUCCGUGCCAGCAGCCGCGGUAAUACGGAGGGUGCGAGCGUUAAUCGGAAUUACUGGGCGUAAAGCGCGCGUAGGUGGCUUGAUAAGCCGGUUGUGAAAGCCCCGGGCUCAACCUGGGAACGGCAUCCGGAACUGUCAAGCUAGAGUGCAGGAGAGGAAGGUAGAAUUCCGGGUGUAGCGGUGAAAUGCGUAGAGAUCGGGAGGAAUACCAGUGGCGAAGGCGGCAUUCUGGACUGACACUGACACUGAGGUGCGAAAGCGUGGGUAGCAAACAGGAUUAGAUACCCGAGUAGUC
rnacentral:rRNA from 1 species